rnacentral:lncRNA from 1 species
GCUGCCUAAAUUGGAUACAUUUGUUUUGCUUACAAAUGAAGGGCCUAGCUUUGAGAAGGAUGAACAUUGGAGCAAGAACAGGCAUGGAGAUGAUGGCAUGCGCAUGGGGAACAAGAACGGAGUUACAAGUGAUGAUUUCAGGACGUUGAAGCCACCAUAAUGCGUGCAUGAAGCCUUGGACGAAAUAUACAAGAUGCUACUUCAUAACUUUCGUCCAGAGGCUAUUCUAGGUGCUGCGUCACCUUAUUAUUGGGCCAGGCCCAUGUAAUUUCGAAAUACUUGAGUAUGGGCUAUUUUUAGAGUCCGUAUGUGUGGGGAAACAAGAGAUAGUUUCGGACCCCUUCCCCAAGGGCCACGAAAUCCCCCCCUCUUCCUCCAUAUAUACAGCCCUUAGGGCGUCGUUUAGACUUUGGGUUUUGUUUAGACUAAAAGUUCGCCAUAGCUGCAACUUCGCGUACUUCGUUUGUGUUCAACGACCAGACAAAGGCGUCACAGAACCCCACCUUGAUCAAUAAAGCUUUCAUCUUAUAUUCACAAUAUCCAGAUUGCAAUCUCAGUUUCUUGCUUGUUCUUCGUUUGCUCGCAGGAAACAGACCCUCGUGGUCAGGUUGAUCGUGCUCCGGCGUGGUCAAUAACCUCUUGAAGUUGGUUUAGCGAUUGCUAAGGCGCGACGUCAUCGCACGUUCGUAGUCGGAUCGUCAAAGCCGACUUCCACCAAAGUGAUAUCCAUCAUCUCAUCGAAAGACGGGACACCUUUGCCUCUAUCAAGUGGUAUCAGAUUUCCAGGUUGCUCGGUGAGAUUUUACAGUUUUUCGUAGUUUAGACCGAGUCUGUUCUUCAUACCUAUAGUCCACGAAAAAGCCACAAAAAAAUUAGGGUUAGUUCAGUAUAUCCGAACCAAUCUGAGCCUUUGCAUAAUCUUUUUAGGGUUUUUGCUUUGUUGAAUUUGCGGUUGCAUCGUCGUGUCAAGUUGCUGGUCUUAGAGUCUAGUCUUUUAGGUUUCGAGUUCUGGUCAUAAGUUGUCACGCCGCCGACGCACCAUCAUAAUCGCCUUGCCAUCUACCACCAUUGCUUAUCCGCCACCGCUCUGAAUCCGUAUCCAUAUACCACCACCCAUCCGUAUCCAUAUACCACCACCGAUCCGUAUCCAUAUAACACCACCGCUACCAUAUACCACCACCGCUGCCAUAUCCUACCACCAUAUAUCCACCACCAAUCUGAGUUCUUUUCAUAUUCGGUUUGUUUUAGAGCUCCAUCUAUUUUCCGUUUCGUGUUUCCUUGCCUGAGUAGGUCUCAAAGAAAAGAGUCUGGAGACCCCCGGGCAGUUUUUAGGCCAAAAUUUCGGCAACCAAUUUUUUUUCCCUAUCCUAUUUUUAGGUCCCGGGGAGUGUUUUGAGACACUCGCCAUCAUAGUGAUUUUUUGUCGCACUUUUUCGUCGUUGCUGCCCUGAUUUCCGAAAAAAAAUAGUCAAAAAAUUUUUGUGCCCAUCCUGUCAGUUUGACCUGGGAAGAGUUUUGAGACACUCGCCAUUAUAGUGAUUUUUCGCAAAAAAAAAGAGCGCAAAAAAAUGAGCAAAUUUUUUUUCCAGAGUGUGCUUUUCCCUUGUUUACAUGCAGCGCCGUGAUUUUGUUAGUGUUCUAGGCUCGCGUCUCUAGCACGGUCUAGCCUAGGACUAGCACAGUACCGUCGUUGAGCAUUUAUUCAACUUUGCAUCUCUGAAUUGAUUAUUGCUGACCAUUUUUGCUACCAUAUUAUAAGCCUUCCCAGCUCCACAUACAUCUACAUCGUGCGUUUGACUCUCCCUGGUAAUCGCUCUAUCCAAGCUUUGAGAGUUUUGACUACAACGGUUGCCGAUCACCACCUGCUGUUGGGUAAGAACUGGUAAGAAUUUGAGAUUCUCUUGAAUGUUUUGUGACACACCACCAUCACCACCACUUCCUAGUAGUCUGCAGGAUCAUAUUCUUUUGUGUUUCUAUUGCUGCUAACUAUGGCAGGAUCACAAGCCGAUGAGACUGAUUGGGAGAACAUGACGAACAAGGAGUUGCAUGAUAAAUUUCAGCAAAUGAUGAGUGGCCAGGUGGGAGAUGUGCUAAACCGAUUUGAAGAGGCUAUGGAGAAGAUAGAUGCCGUGGAGAAGUCGUUCGAGACAAGCUGGAUAACAAGUUUACCGAAUUACUCAAGCGUCUUCCCCAACCACCACCGGCUGCACAUGUCGCACCGCUGCAACAACAACAACCACAUCUCCAACGCCGCCUUCCAAAUCAAGUGUGACGAGCACAGCGCGUUCCAAUUGAGACUGGUCAAAAUUCGGGUGUCGCUGCACCUAUUGUUGAUGCUUCUUUGGCUCCUGCUACUGCGGCGGCUGAGGAGGAUGAUGAUUAUGUGGGCGAUUAUGAGGAUGAGGUUGAUCAAAAUCAGAACUACGUGCAGCCACCAGCACCACCACCAGCAGGUCGACCUCAGGUAUAUAUUCGCAACGGUAGGCCGGCACCACCACCUCAGGUACGAGAUCAUGACCAUCUCCCUAAACUGAAAUUGAAUAUUCCACAAUUUGAGGGUAGAUGUGUUCCUGAUAUAUAUCUUACUUGGGAGUUAGAAACUGAACAAUGAUUUACAUGUUUACAAUAUCCCGAGGAGAGAUGUGUUCCUGCUGCUAUUUGUGCUUUCACUAGCUUUGCAUGUGUUUGGUGGUUUGAACAUUGUAGAUUAUAUCCUGUUCCAGCUACUUGGGCUGCUUUGAAAACUGCUAUGCGUACUCGUUUGGUUCCACCAUAUUAUCAACGUGAAUUACUUCAAAAAUUGCAGCGCUUAAGACAAGGGAAAAAUUCUGUAGAAGAAUAUUAUCAGGAAUUACAAACUGGCAUGAUUAGAUGUGGUAUUGUUGAGGAGAAUGAAGCUAUUCUUGCACGUUUUAUGGGUGGAUUAAAUAAAGAGAUUCAGACCAUUCUAGAGUAUAAGGAUUAUAAUAAUAUCACUCGUUUAUUCCAUCUUGCUUGUAAAGCUGAACGUGAAGUGCAGGAUCGACAGCCAUUGGCGCGAACUAACUUUUCUGCAGGUCGACCUUCAUCAUGGACACCGCGUGCAUCUUCUACUUCCACUGCACCAGCACCUCCAUCAGGUUCCACCUCCAGCCGUGAUACAAGAAAGCAGGCACAACCACCACUAUCUGCCAAGAGUGCACCUAUCGGGCCUGCACAGAGCUGUUCUUCUUCCAUGGCAUCGACAGGGCACACAAGUGAUAUUAUUUGUCGUCGUUGUAAGGGAAGAGGACAUUAUGCACGAGAAUGCAAAUCUCAGCGUGUAAUGAUUGCUACUGAGGAUGGUGGGUAUGAGUCCGCUAGUGACUAUGAUGAGGAGACUUUGGCUCUUAUUACACGUGAAGAACAUGGUGGAGAUGAUUCUGAACAUGAGACGCAAUACAUGGCUCCUGACGAUGCUGACAGGUAUGAAUGUUUAGUUGCUCAAUGUGUUUUGAGUGUGCAGGUCACACAAGCAGAGCAAAAUCAGAGGCAUAAUUUGUUCCAUACAAAGGGAGUUGUGAAGGAACAUUCUGUUCGCGUCAUCAUAGAUGGAGGCAGCUGUAACAACUUGGCUAGCAUGGAGAUGGUGGAGAAACUAUCUCUCACCACAAGACCACAUCCACAUCCUUACAACAUCCAAUGGUUCAACAACAGCGGCAAGGUUAAGGUAACACGUACUGUUCGUGUGCAUUUUAGUAUCUCUACAUAUGCUGAUUAUGUUGACUGUGAUGUGGUACCCAUGCAAGCAUGUUCCUUAUUACUUGGUAGACCAUGGCAAUUUGAUAAAAACUCUGUACACCAUGGUAGAAACAAUCAGUAUACUCUUGUUCAUAAGGAUAAAAAUAUUACUUUGCUUCCUAUGACUCCUGAUUCCAUUUUGAAAGAUGACAUUAAUAGAGCUAAUAAAGCAAAACAGGAGAAAAAUAAGAGUGAAAAUCAGAUUGUGGCAAAAGAAUUUGAGCAACAAAUGAAACCUAAUAAUAAAUCAUCUAGUGUUGUUUCUAAAAUUAAAUUGAAAAGUGCAUGUUUACUUGCCACAAAAUCUGAUAUUGAUGAGCUAGAUUUCAACAAAUCUGUUUGCUAUGCUUUUGUGUGCAAAGAGGCAUUAUUUUCAUUCGAGGACGUGCCUUCCUCUUUGCCCCCUGCUGUCACUAACAUUUUGCAGGAGUUUGCUGACGUCUUUCCACAAGACGUGCCACCGGGAUUACCACCUAUUCGAGGGAUUGAGCAUCAAAUUGACUUAAUUCCCGGUGCAUCGCUACCCAACCGUGCACCAUACCGUACCAAUCUAGAGGAGACGAAGGAGAUUAUGCGUCAAGUACAGGAGCUGCUCGACAAAGGUUAUAUACGCGAAUCUCUUAGUUCUUGUGCUGUUCCUAUUAUACUUGUGCCUAAAAAGGAUGGUACAUCGCGUAUGUGUGUUGAUUGUAGAGGCAUUAAUAACAUUACUAUUCGUUAUCGUCAUCCUAUUCCUAGGCUAGAUGAUAUGCUUGAUGAAUUGAGUGGCUCUACAAUAUUUUCCAAAGUUGAUUUGUGUAGUGGAUACCAUCAAAUUCGUAUGAAAUUGGGAGAUGAAUGAAAAACAGCAUUUAAAACUAAGUUUGGUUUAUAUGAGUGGUUAGUCAUGCCUUUUGGGUUAACUAAUGCACCUAGUACUUUCAUGAGACUAAUGAACGAUGUUUUACGUGCUUUUAUUGGACGAUUUGUGGUAGUCUAUUUUGAUGAUAUACUGAUUUAUAGCAAAUCUUUGGAAGAACAUUUGGAACAUUUACGUGCUGUUUUUAUUGCUCUACAUGAUGCACGUUUGUUUGGUAACCUUGGGAAGUGCACCUUUUGCACCGACCGAGUAUCUUUUCUUGGCUAUGUUGUUACUCCACAGGGAAUUGAAGUUGAUAAAGCCAAGAUUGAAGCUAUUGAGAGUUGGCCGCGGCCCAAAACGGUCACACAAGUGAGGAGUUUCCUUGGCCUCGCUGGUUUCUAUAGGCGUUUUGUGAGAGAUUUCAGCACCAUUGCUGCACCUCUCAACGAGCUUACAAAGAAGGAUGUGCCUUUUGUUUGGGGUACCGCACAGGAAGAAGCCUUCACGGUAUUGAAAGAUAAGUUGACACAUGCUCCUUUACUCCAACUUCCUGAUUUUAAUAAGACUUUUGAGCUUGAAUGUGAUGCUAGUGGAAUUGGAUUAGGAGGUGUGUUAUUACAAGAUGGUAAACCUAUUGCAUACUUUUCUGAAAAAUUGAGUGGGCCUAGUCUGAAUUAUUCUACUUAUGAUAAAGAACUAUAUGCUCUUGUUCGGACUUUAGAAACAUGGCAACAUUAUUUAUGGCCCAAAGAAUUUGUUAUACAUUCUUAUCAUGAAUCUUUGAAACAUAUUAAAAGUCAAGCUAAACUGAAUCGUAGACAUGCUAAAUGGGUUGAAUUCAUUGAAACUUUCCCUUAUGUCAUUAAACACAAGAAGGGUAAAGAAAAUGUUAUAGCUGAUGCAUUGUCUCGUCGCUAUACUAUGCUGUCACAACUUGACUUCAAAAUAUUUGGUUUGGAGACCAUCAAAGAUCAAUAUGUGCAUGAUGCUGAUUUUAAAGAUGUUUUGCAGAAUUGUAAAGAAGGAAGAACCUGGAACAAGUUUGUCGUUAAUGAUGGAUUUGUGUUCUGUGCUAACAAGCUAUGCAUUCCAGCUAGUUCUCUUUGUCUUUUGUUGUUGCAGGAGGCGCAUGGAGGAGGAUUAAUGGGACACUUUGGCGUGAAGAAGACGGAGGACGUACUUGCUACACAUUUCUUUUGGCCAAAGAUGAGACGGGAUGUUGAGCGUUUUGUUGCUCGCUGCACUACAUGUCAAAAAGCUAAGUCACGACUCAAUCCUCAUGGUUUAUACAUGCCUUUGCCUGUACCUAGUGUUCCUUGGGAGGAUAUAUCUAUGGACUUUGUUUUAGGUUUACCUCGAACAAAGAAGGGGAGGGAUAACAUAUUUGUUGUCGUGGAUAGAUUCUCAAAAAUGGCACACUUUAUACCAUGUCAUAAAAGCGAUGAUGCUGUUAAUGUUGCUGAUUUGUUCUUCCGUGAAAUUAUUCGUUUGCAUGGUGUGCCAAAUACUAUUGUUUUAGAUCGUGAUACUAAAUUUCUUAGCCACUUUUAGAGAUGUUUAUGGGCUAAGUUGGGGACUAAACUGCUUUUUAGUACUACUUGUCACCCCCAAACUGAUGGACAAACUUAAGUAGUCAAUAGAACAUUGUCUACUAUGCUUAGGGUUGUUUUGAAGAAUAAUAAGAAAAUGUGGGAAGAAUGCUUGCCUCAUAUUGAGUUUGCUUAUAAUCGUUCAUUGCAUUCUACUACUAAGAUGUGCCCUUUUGAAAUUGUGUAUGGUUUCCUACCUCGUGCACCUAUUGAUUUGUUACCUCCUCCAUCUUCGGAGAAGGUUAAUUUUGAUGCUAAACAACAUGCUGAAUUGAUCUUAAAAAUGCAUGAGUUAACUAAGGAAAACAUUGAGCGUAUGAAUGCUAAAUAUAAACUUGCUGGAGAUAAGGGUAGAAAACAUGUUGUGUUUGCACCUGGAGAUCUUGUUUGGUUACAUUUGCGUAAGGAUAGAUUUCCUGAUUUGCGCAAAUCAAAGCUAAUUCCACGUGCUAAUGGUCCUUUUAAGGUGUUAGAGAAAAUAAAUGAUAAUGCAUAUAAACUUGAGCUGCCUGCAGAUUUUGGGGUUAGUCCCACUUUUAACAUUGCAGAUUUGAAGCCUUAUUUGGGUGAGGGAGAUGAGCUUCCGUCGAGGACGACUUCAUUUCAAGAAGGGGAGGAUGAUGAGGACAUCAAUACCAUUGUUACACCCACAGCCCCUGCUGCUAUACAUACUAGACCAAUUACUAGAGCUCGCGCACGCCAAUUAAAUUACCAGGUACUUUCGUUUCUUUGUAAUGAUUCUAGUGUUCAUGAGAAUAUGAUGCUGCCUAAAUUGGAUACAUUUGUUUUGCUUACAAAUGAAGGGCCUAGCUUUGAGAAGGAUGAACAUUGGAGCAAGAACAGGCAUGGAGAUGAUGGCAUGCGCAUGUGGAACAAGAACGGAGUUACAAGUGCUGAUUUCAGGACGUUGAAGCCACCAUAAUGCGUGCAUGAAGCCUUGGACGAAAUAUACAAGAUGCUACUUCAUAACUUUCGUCCAGAGGCUAUUCUAGGUGCUGCGUCACCUUAUUAUUGGGCCAGGCCCAUGUAAUUU